UCAUUUGUCAUCUGAGUCAUUCGCCUUUUCCUUUGCAGGAUAUGUUUGAUCCCCAUGGCUGGUCUGAGGACUCCUACUAUGAGGCAUUAGCCAAGGCCCAGAAAAUUGAGAUGGACAAAUUGGAAAAGGCCAAAAAGGAGCGAACAAAAAUUGAGUUUGUGACGGGCACCAAGAAAGGCACCACGACCAACGCCACGUCCACCACCACUACCACUGCCAGCACAGCUGUUGCAGAUGCUCAGAAGAGAAAGAGCAAGUGGGACUCGGCUAUCCCAGUGACAACGAUAGCCCAGCCCACCAUCCUCACCACCACAGCCACCCUGCCAGCUGUUGUCACGGUCACCACCAGCGCCAGCGGCUCCAAGACCACCGUCAUCUCUGCUGUGGGCACCAUUGUGAAGAAGGCCAAGCAGUGACCUCAGGGGCCACCCUAGGACUUGAAAGGACCGUGCAGCCCAGUGACCACUGCCCAGUGGGAGGCGCCACUUUGUAUAUUUCAGGACUGGGACCUGCUCCCCAGAUGCCACCUGAGAGGAGCUUCUGUUUGGCAUUCCAGAUGGAAGGACAGGCAGCACGGGAGCCAGGCGCUGUGGACAGGGUCUGUCCACGCACCACCUGGGGUCUGCCGCCUAUUAAAAGUGCCGUAUUCUUA
rnacentral:sRNA from 1 species